rnacentral:rRNA from 1 species
UGAGGAAUAUUGGUCAAUGGGCGGGAGCCUGAACCAGCCAAGUCGCGUGAGGGAGGAAGGUCCUACGGAUUGUAAACCUCUUUAGCCGGGGAGCAACGUGCACCACGCGUGGCGCAGUGAGAGUACCCGGAGAAUAAGCAUCGGCUAACUCCGUGCCAGCAGCCGCGGUAAUACGGAGGGUGCAAGCGUUAAUCGGAAUAACUGGGCGUAAAGGGCAUGCAGGCGGUUCAUCAAGUAGGAUGUGAAAUCCCCGGGCUCAACCUGGGAACAGCAUACUAAACUGGUGGACUAGAGUAUUGCAGGGGGAGACGGAAUUCCAGGUGUAGCGGUGGAAUGCGUAGAUAUCUGGAAGAACACCAAAGGCGAAGGCAGUCUCCUGGGCAAAUACUGACGCUCAUAUG